rnacentral:rRNA from 1 species
CCCCUAGAUGUUCUGGGCCGCACGCGCGCUACACUGAACAGUUCAACAAGUCUUAACCUUGGCCGAUAGGUCUGGGUAAUCUUUGAACGCUGUUCGUGAUUGGGAUAGACCUUUGCAAUUAUGGGUCUUCAACGAGGAAUUCCUAGUAAACGCAAGUCAUCAGCUUGCAUUGAUUACGUCCCUGCCCUUUGUACACACCGCCUGUCGCACCUACCGAUUGAAUGGUCCGGUGAAAUCUCGGGACGGCGGCUUGGUCGCUUGCGUCCGACUGCUGAAACUUGAUUAAACCAUAUCAUUUAGAGGAAGGUGAAGUCGUAACA